GGAUUUGAGUACCGGAUCGACGUACAAAUUACCCC
rnacentral:rRNA from 1 species